CUUGUAGAUAAAAGAGCAGGUCCGGAUCUCGGAAGAAGUAAUGAGACCCCAAGUAAUCAUGCCCUCUUAUCUUUCAUUACCAGUGUUUUACUGAGCACUCUGGAAGGAAAGUCAGCAAGGGUUUAGCAGCUGUGGAGCCAUUCUCUUUCUGUUUUCUUUCAUGGACUUAUGUAUAAAUCAGGGAGGCUCAAUUGAAAAAGGGGUGCACUUACUUAGCAGGCCCUUUCCUCGCCUCCAUCCGGAGCUGGAGCUGUGCCCCUGUGUGCCCGCGCCCGGCCGGAGGAACGCGCAGACCUCCGCCAGGCAGGGGGGACCGAGCCCCGCUCCCCCCGCUGGGAUGGCACCUGAGGAAGGCACCCUCCUGCUGCCAGGGCCUGGAGGCGCCUUGGCU
rnacentral:lncRNA from 12 species